UUUGUCUUUCUGGGCCUGGGUUACCUCACUCAGGAUGAUUUUCUUCUAGUUCCACAUGAUGAAGCCAUAGUGAAUUCUCCCUUCUGUAACUUCCCUUGAUCAUGGUGUUUGAUCACAGCAGCAAAGGAGGAACUAACACACAUUGUCAGUGUUUCUGGGGCUCUGCCAUGGUUUGAAUGUGGAUUGAGUGUAUAUCCCUCAGGGAUUCAUGUGUUGGAAACCUUUAAGAAAUGUGGUCUAGUAGGAGGUCAUUAGGUCAUGGGUUCAUGCGCUCAGAAGGGACUGAGAUAUUUUUGGAGGUGUCUGAGGUUUUUACCCCCAUGGAGGGUUGUUAUAAAGAUGUAAGACUGCUCUGUGUACCAUCUCAACAUGUGCACUCUCCUUUUCUCACAUGUUCCUGCCGUGAUGUCAUCCACUGUGAUAUAAUGUCAUCAAGGAGGUCCUUGCCAAGCUUAAUACACAUCCAAAAUGGCAGGCUAAAAUCAGUCUUUUAAAAUAACUCAUCCAGACUCCUGUAUUUCAUUAUCACAAUGGAAGAGGGACCAACGCAAGUUCUGACAUCUCUCCCUGUACAUUGGAUCUGCAGAAGCCUGAGAUUUCAAUAUAAAGUUAGUUCCAUGCCAGAUACAUAGAAGAUACUCAAAAUACUGACCCCCUUUCUCUCAGUUUCUCUUCCAUAAGUUCAAAAGCCUAUGCAACUCAUUUGCUUGGGAAAAAAAGGUGGAUGUAAUUCUUGUGGCAGACCUGAAGGCAUUAUUUCAAAUGUGGUAUGGAUUUAUACCAAGAGGCCCAGUAACAACUUAACCAAGAGUAGCCACAGCAGCCCCAAAGGACACUCUACUGCUUGCCAGGGCUUUAUUUCUGAAUGCUAUGUGAGUUUCUAUUGGUAAAAUGAGGGACUGGUGCUAACUUGUAAAUCACAGCUUCCAUGAAGAGACAGUGGACACUCUGUUGUGCUACCAGCCUUUCUGCCAGCACAAGACGGUUGGACGGUCUGGAAACUUCCAGGAACUGUGCCCCCAUCUCCAUUCAUACCACUGUGAAGCACUCAGACUUCCUGGGAGCUAGAGGAAGGCAGGCCCAACCUAGCUAGACGUCAGCCUAGCUCCAGCUGUGGGUAUCUACAGCCAGAUCCUCCCACAGGCUGAGGAAGGAAUUUUGCUUUCUUUGUCUAUUCUCAGUCCCACCUGCUAUUAUUCUAAUGCCCCUAGCCUUCUCUUAGGUGCCUGAGCUGUCUGUCUGUCCUGAAAUAGUUCUUGCAGAGGGCUCUCCUGGAGCCUCUGUGGGGGACUUACUUGGCAGGCUCAACUCAAACACUAUACAUUUUCCCUGUUUUCCAUCCCUUAGUUGAUAUUUGCUUACACACCCUGCUCUAUUUAUCCAUCAAGGGCCCAUUGAGCCCCUUUGUGACCCAGAAAUUGCUCUAGGUUCUCAGAAUGUAGGUUUGAAAACAAGUAGACUACAGAUAGAAAUUACACAUCACUAUCAGAGCCAACAUCCUACCAGAGGAAGACAUCAGAUAAAAUACGUAAGUAAACUGAAUAUUUUAUUAGAUGGAAAUGGGUUAUAAGGAAAAAAAAAAAAACUAAGCAAGGGGAGACUAUAGGGAGUUUGGGGGUGUGUGGCCAACUAUAGUUUUACUGGAAGGUGACAUUUAGUGAGGACAUUAGAGAAGUGAACAGUCAAGUCAUGUGGGUGACUAAGAAAGACAGAUGCAGCAAUAACUCUGAGGGAGGAGUGUGAGAAAUAGGAAGCCAGAAGCAAGCAGUCAAGAUGGAAUCAGAAAGGCUGUGGAAGGUCAAGCAGGGCUUCCAAGGAUCACGAGACUCUCUUCUCCUGGGUCCUGUGUGGACUAGGCAGGCAUUUGGACCUGAUUUUAUUGGCUGUGUUUUCCAUAAUAAUUAACACUGUCUUGGUAUACCGUUUGUGACUUGGGCUCACAUGUACUGCUGAUCUGGUACAAGGCUCCUCACCAGCUCCCUCCAUGUGGCACACACAGCAGGGAACCAGGUCUAGCCUGGGGUUCUAAGUCACCACAGCGGGAGGUGAGGAGCGCUGAUAUCUAAAGUAGUUAGGCAUUCUUCUGAAUCUUUUCAGUCCUCCACUCGUGAAAACGGCACAAGAGGGGGACUGAGGUGUGUGUGUCAGUGAGGAUGUGUGGCCGACACAUCAGGGCCUGCCUAGUGCAUCUGUACCUUGGGAAGGAUAGGGCUGAGCUGUCAAGCUACACCGUCUCCACACAAGUCUUCCCACUUUCUCCACAGCCUCUGAUUCCUGAAGACCAAACCAGGGCCACAGCAGGUGUCCUCGGGUGGCGCUCUGAGGACGCCCACCUCACGGUGCUGAAGGAUGAAGAGUCUCUUCCGGGUUCCUAUUCCAGAGCUACCGAAGUGGAACUUGGCACAGCAGCUGAUUGCCAAAGAGACAAAACGGGAAGGCAGAACCAGGCCCAGUCUGCACCAACUCUCCAAUACCUGACACUUCCAUUCACAAGGGCACAAGCCUGUGGCAGCCUGCAAGAAGUCACCACUGUGGGAUUGCCAGGAAAGCACAAAUAAGGUACCUACUGUGUGCAGGUGAUAUUGUGGAGACAUCUAUGGACCAUUGCUAGUGCCUCUGUGGGUGUCAUAAUAGAAAUACACAGCCCUCGGGGACUGAGAAUGAUCCACUGGCACCCCAGAAGCUUUCAACAGAGGGUCACAGCAGAUGGAGACCAUCAGCGAAAGUCACGACUGGUCAAAACACAGAACAAUUGACCCUGACUGUGAGGCAUCUGGAGCAAUAUCGAUGUUCAGAGAGUGCAGAUUGAAUGUGCCAACAGGUAUUAAGUCUUGAGAAUGUGGAAUGGGAAGGCAGUGCCAUGGCCGUUGACAUCACUUUGUAGUCGGGAAGGCCCAUCUCACACACAGUGACACAGGAAUGCAUGGUGUCUCUACUCUUAUGAGAACACUGAUCCUGUGGAUUAGGGCCCAUUCCAAUGACAUCUCAGCUCAUGACUUCUGCAAAGGCCCCCAUUUCCAAAUGAGGUCCUGUUGAUGGCAGGUGUCUGCGUGAGGGAGCCAUCACAGCUGAGGGACAUGGCAGCCAGAUGUGGCCUUAGGGCCCCUCACCCAGCUCCCACAGAGCUGCUGGACAAGGCUCACAGUCCUGAAUUCUGUGUUUUGCCUGCUACACGGCAGAGGCUCUGCUGAGCUGGGCUGAAAGUUGUGAUCUGUGAGGUUACAACAUGUUGGUGGAGUGAAGAGCCACCUUCCAUCACUCUGCAGACUCUGGUUCACUGAUCCGACUGGUACCCCGGUCACUUCAAGGCCACAAGUGGAGGUGACUUGGGUGCCACAGGACCGGCUUCUGAUCACAGCUGCUCUCAAGAUCAUGGCCACUGCAUGUUGCUAUGCAUGCAGCUGGAGAAAGAGGAAGAUUCCUGGCCCCAGAUUUCCACAGCAUCAGGGUUUCACCACCCAUCAGAGAAUCUGAGCCAGGUUCUGAGGCAGACAUGGUGGAAAAGGAGUUGGACAUUCUGGACGUGGCCUUAGUGUGAAGCUGGCUUUUGGAUUUGGAUCUGAGAUUUCUCCCAUGGGUCUGGAUUUUGCUCAUUUCCUACAUGUGGGAUGCUGAAACUGUCUGAGGCAAUCCUGUGAUCAAAUGCCAUACUUCAAAAAUCACACAUCUUUCUUUGAAGCUCAGGCUCAUGGUCUCCCAACACAAUUAAUUGGAAUAGCAGCACAAAAGAUGACUGAAAGUGAAAAAAAAAUCCCAGUGUCUCCUUUCUCAGGGACAUUGCAAGCUGACACACCAACAUGUGCCCACCACACUGCCUGGAUACUCCAUGCCAGCAUGUGUCUGUGUUAAUGGAUCCACUAAGAUCUUAAGGAGACCUCUUGUUCAACAUCCUCCUGCUGAUGGGCUCCAAAGCCACACAAGUCCUGGAUGUCUGGUGCUUCCUAGCCAGGGUGGUCCCUGUACAGAACAUACCAAAUUCUGGAGACAUACUUGGUUUUCAGGACCUGGAAAUGCCACUGUCAUUUGCUGGACAGGAGCCUGAAGCCCAGUUAGAAGAACCACAGUACCAAGACAGUCUCACAAUCAAGAUCAGUCAGGGGAAAAGCACCAGUGAGGAGCCAUGUUGACUCUGGCCAAAGGGGCAUGGAGAACCUUGUCCAUAGCACACUGUGACCUCAAGGAGUGAACAAGAAGGAGAGAAAUGAUGGACAAAUGUCCCCAAAAGGACUGGAAACCACUCUCUCCUGGAGCAUUGUUCUGCUCACUCUGAAGCCCACCAUGGAGAGGCCUCUAGAAGAAAGGAGAUGUACAUGGGACUGGAACCCUCAGCCUGACUCUCUGGACAGAUGCAUGCUCCAGACAAACUGGAAUGAGCUGAUUUAAGCAUGUUGUUAUUAGAAAUAAACAGUCUAACAUCAUAUAUUCUGUGUACUCAGCACUGGCAUGUGGAUCAUGGUUAUGUAGGAGGCUCCACUGCCAACAGAUGCUACCACACUCUGCACAUUGAUUCCCCCAGGAGAUGGUUUUGCUCUGAACUGAAUGCCAUGCUCCUGUCCCAACCCCUCUCCUGCAGAACCCCUGCAGUACAUGUUUUUCUCUUUUUUCUGCUUCCACUGUGGCUGCUUUCCCA